rnacentral:rRNA from 1 species
UACGAAGGGGGCUAGCGUUGCUCGGAAUUACUGGGCGUAAAGCGCGCGCAGGCGGCUAUCCAAGUCAGUGGUGAAAGCCCGGAGCUCAACUCCGGAACUGCCAUUGAAACUGUUUAGCUGGAGUAUGAGAGAGGUGAGUGGAAUUCCCAGUGUAGAGGUGAAAUUCGUAGAUAUUGGGAAGAACACCGGUGGCGAAGGCGGCCAACUGGACCAUCACUGACGCUGAGGCGCGAAAGCGUGGGGAGCAAACAGG